GGCAGCAACCAGGAUCCACCCCUUCCCAGUCCUCAUUUAAGGGUUGGCAGUGGAGGUGAGGACAUCUCAUUUGGAGGUCCUUGAGUACCUGAGGCCUUUUAAAGUUACCUCUCCUGACGGGCAGCGCUUGGGAAAAUCCUCAAAAUCUCAGCAUGGAGAAGAUCAGUGGUCUCUGGGUCUUUGACUUUGAUUUCCAGCACGUAGCCUUUGCCAAACUUGUUCUUCAGGUACUGAAUGGAGCCAAUGCACCUGCAGCCCCUCACCAAGCAGCAGCCUGGGAUCCUGCUCACCAAAUGCAGCGCUGUCCAUUGGGGUCCAUGCCAGUCGAUGGCUCAUCCAGCAGCAGGACUGAAGGGUUGCCCAGCGUGCACACAGCGCAGCACAGCUAUGGCAGGAAGAGGGGUUGGGGUCAGACCUUCUACAGCCCCAGCACUGUGUCUCCAAGGAGCUGCAGGCAGUGCUGCAUUCUUUAUGAACAUCAAAUUUCUGAUUGAUAGGAGACAGACUUGGAAGGUGCAAUGUGAUCCUCUCCCAAGUGGUUGGGA